AAGCGAUCUCAGCAAAACACAACUGUUAGAAGCACUGUGCUAUUCUCAAACCCGUGCAAGAGAAGCUGAACAAUUGGCACAGCAAGCAUACAACGAAAAGGAGCAUGUGAUCAAGCUGUUGUUCAGGCAGGCUUCUCAGCUCUUUGCUUACCGGCAGUGGCUUCAAAUUUUGCAGCUUGAAGCUCUGGUCCUCCAGCUCAGGAACAAAGAUG
rnacentral:misc_RNA from 1 species